CUGGAGUGCAUGCUGGUCCCAUCACUGGGAAUCCAGGAAACCCCAGGUCCAGGGAAGGGCAGUUUGCUUCCGGCUUCUCAUGCCCAGGCCUAGCUCAUUUCACUCUGCAAACACGUUCAUGCUUUCAUUCUGCGGAAGUCUAUGAGGUAUCGCCCAAGAGGCCUCAGAACCAGCAGGCCUGUGUUCUAGAACCGCCAAGCAUUGCUGGCUGUGCGGCUCGAGGUGGGUCACUUCAUUCUCGGUACAGAUAGCACAACCUGCCUCGGGGUUCUGGGGCUGCAUGAGGCUUGGAGGACACAGGGGUACCCAUGGCGCCUCCCGGGUCCUCAUGGGACCUUGCUGCCUGCCCUGAGUUCAUCUGUCCCUAGCCCACCCCUCCCAGCCCAGCCUCACUGGUUCCCUUGGGUGGGCCCAGCUGCAGCCCACCUCAGGACCCUUGUCUGGUCAUGCCCUCUGCUGGGAGUGCCCUUCCCACUGUCCCUUCUCUUUCCUUGCUUCUCCGGAGGCUGCCCCAACCCCUUCCUGAGAGGGUCCCCUCCCAUACUGCACCCUGAUGCCAGCACCCCCUUUCCUUCUCCUGGAGCCAUCCCCUACAGCAAUCCGGGAGUAGCAACGACAUUGCCCUAAACCUGAGACCACGGCUCAGCCUAAGUCAGUGUCCCACAGAUUCUUGAAUACAUGAAUAAUUAGUGAGUCCCUGCUGGGUGCCGGCCCCAGGAACAGGAAGCAGGAUUUUGUAUAUCCUAAGACCAGGAGCUCAGUAAGCAGGGUGCUGGGUUGGGAGGUGGGGAGGGUGGAGCUGAAGUUCAAUCUUCUAGCAAGCACGACAACGUGAGGGCAAUUGAGAACCCCCCCCCACCUUACAUUUGAGACUGAGGGCGCACAUGAGUUCAUGCAGCGAGGCCAGGAGUCGAGCCCCAAUCAUUGGGCCUCUGUGUCCUCUGCAUGGGCCCCUGCCUGCGGGCUACCCUGGAACUGGGGCAUUGGAAUGCCGGCUCAGGCAAUGUCUGCGUAUAACCCCAUGGCUCUGGGGUUCUGGGGCCCUCAGGUACCCAUUUGUGGCCGGGUGGCUGCCAUGCUGCUGAUGGGACAGAUGGGAGGGUGCUCUGAUGGCCUGGCACAAUGAAACACAGGGGACUCCUGAUGGAUUUCCCAGCAUUUCCUUGUAAGGUCUUGGACUGUGGAUUAUGGAGAGCAUCCUCUCCUUCCGCUGCCCCAGGCUGAGUCAGGAGCCUCAUGGCAGGAGCAGUCAACAACCAUCGGAGCUUCCCUCUGGGCAGGGGUACCUCCUCUACCUGAACCAACAGCACUUUACCAAACGGGGUGAUCAGCACCAAAGACCCGAAGCCCAGGCCCAUCUGCAGCCUCAUCCACGCUGGCUGCUCACCUCCACGGUUUGGUCUCGGUUCCGCAUCCCGCUGGGACAUUCCUUGGCCGUGCCCUUGACACAGCGGCACGGGCUCGGAUCAGGCCAACGGAGCGCUCAGGCUUCCUCUUUGCGCUCCCCGUGCGGUCGCCGGGGCAAACACAGAGGGUGGGCCGGGAGGGCUAACGGAUGCAUGAAUGAGAGGAGCAGGGGACGAGGUCGCCGCCUGCGGGAGGUGGGGCCACGGGAAAAGCACCGACGGGGGAGACCGCGCGGCGGAGGGCGGCGCGCUGUCCCGUCCCGCGUGGGACCUCACUGUGCGGAGCCAGCCGCCUGGCCACGGGCUUGCGCUCGUGGCUCACGCCACCCCGUGAACAGUGCCCGGCCGCCGGGGCGGGACUGCGUCCACGGUCCCCCUCUCGCAGGGGGCCCAGGGUGACAGCUUCCGGGC